rnacentral:misc_RNA from 1 species
UUAAGUUCAGCGCGUAUUCCUACCUGAUCCGAGGUCAACCAUAGAAAGUUUCCUAGUGAAAGGAGAGGACCGGGUCCCGGGUGCCCUGGUCCGGUACGUGCUCGAUGAAAAGCUCAGUGUACCGGGGGAACCGCAGGCCGCCGUCUUUAUUUUUAGGAGGGGUCGAGGGGGCCUCGACCGGCCGUCCAACACCAAGCACG